UACGUAGGGACCAAGCGUUGUUCGGAUUUACUGGGCGUAAAGGGCGCGUAGGCGGCAAUUCAAGUCAUCUGUGAAAUCUCCGGGCUUAACUCGGAACGGUCAGAUGAUACUGCUUUGCUAGAGUGCGGAAGGGGCAAUCGGAAUUCUCGGUGUAACGGUGAAAUGCGUAGAUAUCGAGAGGAACACCAGAGGUGAAGACGGGUUGCUGGGCCGACACUGACGCUGAAGCGCGAAAGCCAGGGGAGCAAACGGG
rnacentral:rRNA from 1 species